GACAGUAUAUACAAUGGUUGUUUUUUAAAAUUAUCUCAUAGUUACUCAUAAUUACUUAAUUUAACAAAAGUAAAUUUGUGAGUUGCAUAACAAUAAAGAAAGGAUUUUAUUAAUUCACAGUCAUUACAUCGAGUUGAUACAAUAAAAGUGAAUUCACUUCUGGCUUCUGCCUAAACACAAAGCCUAAGAGAAAGAAACCUGACACUCCAGUGACAAUCAAUUCUAAAAUUAGAUCGUCACCCAUGUGCCCGGGAGAAAAACACCGUAACCGCUUGCAUCAAUUGUUGCAAUGUCUUCUAUACCAAAUCGUGUGCGUAAGGCUUUUGGACGACAACCCAUGUACGCAGCCAAUGGAUUACCAAAUAAACCACCUGCAAGGGAGAGUAAACACAUUUCUUUCCAUCUAAUAGAUCUAAUUUUAUCUUAUAAGAUGGUUCUUUCGCGAGCAAUGAUCUCUCUCUCUCCAUUUGCUCCACAUGAGCAGAAAUCUUAUGUGGUACUACGAGAUGAGUUUUUCUUAGCAAUAUACUCGGUGGCGGAUGCAGAACAAAAUUAAAGGGAGUUGGUAUCUUCUUCUUCCUCCUCUCUCCCCAUUUUUCUUCUUUCCUUCACCUCUUAUUCUCCCUCACUCUUCCCAUAUUUCCAUUAAUACACAGCUGUAGCCCCCCCCAGCCCCCCUUUAAAUCCGCUCCUAAAUAUACUUACCCUAACAACUAUUUUACUGGUUGGACAAACCAACUAAUAACAGUUAAUAGUUAGCUAACUAAUAUUAGAUAUGAGCUAGUUGAGCUACGAGAGCCAUGCUAAACAUGCCUCCAAGGCCAACUGUUUUGCUUUUGCAACAGUUUGUUAGACAAGGAGAAGUGGUAUAUUGUCGGAUGAUAUGUCGCUGUCUUCUCCCUUUUGUCCGAGCGUACGUGCACAUAUACAUCCGCCGAUUGCUUGCUAGCCUCCACUAUGACACAAAUGGUUUGCGUAAUCGUGAGUGGCUGCCUAACAUUCCUUCCCCCACCCCAUCUCUCGAUCAUCCUAUUCCUCCGGUCGACCACACAAGCUAACCCGUUGACCAUGGCUUGGGGUCACUGCCACUCACUAGCUAGCUAGGCUCGUUUGUAGUACUGCACUUUGGCAUCAUUCUUGGGUCUUGUUUAGUUCUAAAAAAAUUAAAAAAAAAUCAGAUUUCUCGUCACAUCGAAUCUUACGGUGCAUGUAUAGAGUAUUAAAUAUAAAUAAAAAUAAUAACUAAUUACAUCUGUAAUUUGUAAGACAAAUCUUUUAAAUUUAGUUAGUACAUAAUUGAACAAUAUUUGUUAUAUACAAAUAAAAAUAUUAUAAUGUUUAUUUUAUAAAAAAAAUUUUAGAACUAAACAAGGCCUUGAUCAAUCUCGAACCCAUAAUCAAGACCAUUCUGCUCAUCGAACUGCCCGUGACUCUCGUGUAGUAUUAUAUUAUUCUUUAUUCAGUGAUCAAGCGCAUGGGCAUGGAUCUGAUCUGCAUGCAUGCCUCUUUAUUUUAUUUUAUUUUAUUUUUACGGAGUGAAUGAACAAACUCGUCAGCAGAGUCAACAAAGACCACUGCACUGGAUGCCAGGGGCGGGACGCACGGCGGCUGCACAAUAGGGAGGAGGAUCUUCACAUCUACGACGAGUCUGCAUGAAGAAACUAAUAGGUGGCAUAGGUAGUUAAUUACCAUCCCACUUCACGAGGAGGUAUGAGAAUUCUAUUUUCAGAACACCCCCUUGAGGUACUCCAUAGAACCCAUGGAUGUGGCACUCAAAUCUAGAUUUUUUAUGGAUCCUAAUUCCCUCAAGGAGAGGUGUUUGGGUAAAAAAAACAAAUACAUGGAGCACUUGGAGCUUAAGAGCAUCCCCAACCGUUUUGCAAAUAAGCUUUGCAUUCAUGUAUUUGCAAAAAAAUCUUAAAAACACUUAUCCAACGGUUUGGCAUUUAGACUUUGCAAUUUUGUUAACUUGGCAAAAAGAGAGGAAGGAUUGUCAUAUAUGCCAAACCUGUUCACACUUGGCAUUGGAAAAUUGGCGCGAAGUGAUUAAUGUCAAACCAUUGGAGAUUGCCUUUUUUCAGCUUUGCCAUAUUUUUUUGAGACUUGGCAAACUCCCUCAUUUGCCAAACCAAUUAUGCAAAACGGUUGGGGAUGCUCUUAGCCCCACAGAGCCUUUUGGACAUAUUUGGUGGAGCUCCACCGACUCUAUAUCCACCUAGAUCUGACAUUCUCUAUCUCACUUUCACGUGGGCCUCACGCGUCAGCUCUUUAUCUUCUCUUUCUUCUUCUUCCUCCUAUGUGGUUCUCCUCCAGGCGGGCGCGACCGACAGUGGGUGGGCUCUCUCACGGUGAGCCAAGGCGCGUGGCAAGGCGGCUCCCGCACGGCUAGAUCCUGUGGUUGUGGGCGGAGUUCAUGGCCAAAGCUCACAGUGGGGCGGAGGGUGUGCACGACGACGGGGCGGCUCCUGCAUGGUGGUAGAGGAGGAGGCAUGCAUGGUGGUGGAGGCAAGUGCGCCACGGUGGGGCCCUACUGCUUGUGGUGUAGAUGGCGGCGGUGGGGCGGCCGAGCACGAGGAAGACAGGGAUGGGUGAGGGCAACGCUGCUUGUACAAACUACCAGAAUCCACCUCUUUGCCGAGUGUUAAAGGCUUUGCCGAGUGUUAUUUUGGGCACUCGGCAAUGAAGCUCUUUGCCGAGUGCUGAAAAAACACUCAGCAAAGAGGUUUCUUUGCCGAGUGUAAAAAAACACUCGGCAAAAUAAUUUCAAAUCGAAUUUUGAAGCCCUAAACAAAUUCAAAUAAAAAAGUUUUUAACUACAAAGUUGUAUAACUUCUCAAGAUCUGCAACACUUAUUUUGAUCAUUUUUUCAUUUGACAAAGCCAAAAUAAAUUUUUUACAAAUUUUACAUAUCGGAACAAAUUUUACAAAAUAAAUUUAUAAAACUACAAGAGAGAGAUAUAAACUUUAUGAAAAAUAUUAGAAUCACCAUGUCGGAUGAACAAAUGACAAAACAACCAAAAUAAACUCUAUAGAUCUUGAGAAGUUAUGUAUUUUUGUAUUUGAUAACUUUUUCAUUUGAGUUCAUCUUGUCAUGCAAAACUACGUCUUUAAUUGAAAAUUUUAAAAUUUAAAUUUUUUAAACAACCUUGAAUGGAAAAACUCCCUAAAUAAACCUUGUAGAUACCAAAAAGUUAUAAAAUUUUAUAGUUGAAAACUUUUUUUUGGAAUCAUCUUGUCAUGCAAAAACUACGUUUCAAUUUCUCAAAUUUGAAAUUCAAAUUUUAUAAAUGACCUUGGAUGGAGAAAUUCUCUAAAUAAAAAUUAUAGAUCCCAAAAAGUUAUAAAACUUUGUAGUUUAAAACUUUUUGAUUUAAAAUCAUUUAGAACUUCAAAUAAUCAAUUUAUAUAUGAUUUGGUAUAAUAUAUGAAGAAUCAAAAUGCAAUACAUACAUAAGUGAUAGUGCGGUGGUUAAGGAGGGAUACGCACAAGAGAGAGGUCAUGGCUUCAAAUCCCAUCUUCGACUUUGCCGAGCCCUAUGUUUCCGAAGGGCUUCAAAUCCCAUCUUCGACUUUGCCGAGCCCUAUGUUUCCGAAGAGAAAAAUUUUAUGACACUGUAGCACUUUCGUUUGUUUGUGGUAAUUAUUGUCCAACCAUGGGCUCAAAAGAUUCAUCUCGUCAAUUUCGACCAAACUGUGCAAUUAGUUUUUAUUUUUGUCUAUAUUUAAUACUCCAUACAUGCGUCUAUAGAUUCGAUGUGACGGAGAAUCUUGAAAAAUUUUGGGUUUUUAGGUGGAACUAAACAAGCCAUAAGACAUAAGAAGAAGAAGAAGAAGAAGAAGACACGAGUAACUUUUUUUCCAACUCCAUCAAACUUAUGGUUUUGGUGUCGUAGAUCUACCGUGGAGCUGCUGUUUAAUUAGAAAAAUUAAAUCUAAAACUGUUUUUGUUGAAGCCAGAGCCCAGGUCCAGCGGAGCUCUGCGGUGCAUAACAAAGGCUUCAUUAGUCCUGCACGCUUUAUUGACCGUUGCUUCUUCCGUCAGUUACUCCACUUGUUUGCAUGUGUCAACCAGGGCAGGGCAGGGACUACGCGUUCAUAAAUCAUAACCGUUCAUAACUGAUGCUUAAUUGCACAAUUUACUAGUAAUAUACCCCUAUUUGCUGCUGUUGUACAGUCAAGUAACACUGGGAUGGAUUUCGUUUGGACCAUCGUUACCUUUCAUCUUCUGACCACAACACAGGCAGCACCUGAUCGAUCCAUGACCAUGGUGGAGGAUGAACGCUAAGGGCAGUCCCAAUGGGUAGUUUCCCAAUGGGUAGUUUCUUAUUGCAUUAUUCAAGAGAUAAACAGAGCAAUAAAUGUGCUUUAAACUACCCUUUUCAAUCCAUGGUUUCUACAAUAAUUGCUAUACUAGAGAUAACUUUAAAUACAACACAAAAAAGCAAUAGAUCAAUUGUGCCAAGCAUCCAUAUAGCCUGUAUAAUGUACGUGAUCACUCAUCACAUUCCAAACGAGAAAUAUAUAUAUAAGACUGAGAAACAUACUUGCUUUGUAGCUUGCAAAAUCAUAUUUGUUAACAUGCCAAACCAGAAACAUAUAUAAGACUGAGACAUAGGAGUAUGGUUCUGAAUCACAGCUAGGUUCUGAAUCACAGCUAGGUUCUGAAUCACAACUGAUUAGUUCUGAAAAUAUAAGUUCUGAAUCAUAUGUUGGGCAGUCCAGCUAGCUUUGUAGUGAAAGCGACUUGCAUACAUAUAUAUUAUUGAUAACUAAAUGAUAAGCACACGGUCCAGAAGCAGGUUGCAGCAGGUAUCCAUAUCCUCUCGGCAAGCUGAAGCAGGUACUCCAGAAGCCAACAGUUCGCAAACCACCAUCUACAAGUCACACAAUUUCAUAUUAGGCAAAGAAAUAUUUUAACAAACAAAAUGAAUAGUCCAUAAAGUUUUCAGUUUCAGUUUCACAAAAUAAAGUUGCAGUUUUCAGUUUUCAGUUUCACACAAUUAUCUGUAGCAAAUAUGAAACUGAGUUUUGGUGCCACAUACCUUAAUUAUUUGCAGCAAAUAAGGCUAACCUCAUAUACACUCCAGUGCUUUCUCCCUCUCAGCCAAAGCUCCAGCACUCAUACUAAACUCCUUAAGUCCCUGCAUAUUCUGAGUGAAGAGGAAAUUUUCACUCGUGUUCUAAUAAUGAAAGGAGCUAAUGAAAUUUUCAUUAGAAAAUCAUGCUCUGGGUACCUGUACCAAAGUACAGUUUCUGACAGUUCUUCUCUUGUUUUUGUUGCUGCAAGUGGAGGCGCUAAAGAUCAUAUUAGAGAAGCACUGCUAGCAUACUCCUAGUCUGAAUAAAUAAAAGGAAACAUGUACUCCUAGUCUGAAUAUAUCAGUUUUAAUUUCAGCAACUAGAAAUCGAGGUGUGGGUACAAUCAGACAACACAAAUCCAUCAACGAUGCCUAGAAUAAGUCAGGCCAUACCCUUCAUUUGAGCCCAUCGGAGAGGAACUUGUCCACCAUGCAGGUAAAUAACUAGCUUCAAAACUUGGAAGAGUUGGAGAUGCAGCUGCUGCCUCGCUGGAUCGAUCAACAGUAGGAGCUACGGCAGCACCAGCAACCACACCAAAUUGGCCAGCCACGGCGGCUGCGGGAGCACCCCUGCCUUGCCCUGCUGUACCCUUCCCUACCCGUCCAUUGCCUGCCCUAACUUGCCUGGAGCUUGACGAUGGCGGCCGGAGUGGGUUCAUGGUCGCCAGAUUGGGGAAGAUUGGGGAUCCUAUUUGACUGCCUGCGCGAGAGCUCGCGGGAAGCUGGCGGCUGAGCGCGGGAAGUAGGCCGGGGGCGCGCGGGAAGUAGGUCGGGGGCACGCGGGAAGGAGCUGCUGGUCUCGUUGCGCGCGGGAAGGAGCUGCUGCUGCUCGACGCACGCGGGAAGGAGCCGGCGGCGGAGCACCUGAUCCGGUCCUCGGGGACAAGAAACGACUGGUUUCUCCCCAGUGCGUUUCUGCUGGUUUCGACGGGCCUCGAUACUUUCGUCGACGUGAUUUCGUGAACAAGAAAUGGUUUCCAUCUUUUUCCCUCUCUCUCUUCAUUAAUUAAGCUGCCACGUAGGAUUUUUGCUUAGUUGGCAGGAUAGUUAAUGAACACAGAAACUGGUCAUUUAUUGCCAUUGGGACUGCCCUAAGGCCAGUCUCAAUGGAGUUUCAUGAGAGUUUCAUGUACAUUAAAUAUGCUGAUGUGGCGCUAUAGUAAUGAAGAGAGAGAUGAUAAGAGUUUCAUGAGAGCAGAGAGAGUUUCAUCCCCAUGAAACUCUAAUGCACUGUUUCCAAAAUAUAGAUGUGUUGAAAACUGGACUAUAAAACUUCCAUUGAGGAUGACCUUAGGCUUAGCCACUCACUCACUCACCCACUUGCCUUUGGCUUAGCCACUCCCUCACUCACCCACUUGCCAUCCAACCACUCUCUCGCUCCCGCAUGCUGGUGGAUUAGAAAUUAAAGAUGGGUCUCCUCUGCCGAUCCUGAAAGUGAAAGCCUCAAAAUAUAUAUAUAUAUAUAUAUAUAUAUAUAUAUAGACACACACACACACUCCACUCUAGUCUAGCGUAGCACGUUGUAUUGUACCAAGAAAGAAGAUGAGGAGCUCAAGCAGCCUAGUGCUGUUCUCUGCUGCUCUGCUCCUCUUCUGCUGCUUCACCACUGGUAACAAUUCAUAGAUUCACAUCUGUGAAAACUUUAACAUUGAGAUCGAUCGACCCAGUAAGUUAACCUGAUGAUCCUGCAGGCGCGGCGGCGGACGCCGGCGGCGAUGGUGGUCUUCGGCUGGGCUACUACUCGGGGAGCUGCCCGCGAGCCGAGGACAUCGUCAAGGAGCAGGUGACGCAGCUGUACCACAAGCACGGCAACACGGCGGUGUCAUGGCUGCGCGCCCUGUUCCACGACUGCUUCGUGAGGUCCUGCGACGCCUCGCUGCUCCUGGAUCCCACGGCGGCCACCGGCGGCGCCUCCGAGAAGGCCUCCCCGCGGAGCUUCGGCAUGCGGAACUUCAAGUACGUCGACGUGAUCAAGGCGGCGGUGGAGCGGGAGUGCCCCGGCACCGUCUCCUGCGCCGACGUGCUGGCCCUGGCGGCGCGCGACGGCGCCGCCAUCCUGGGCGGCCCGCGCGCGGUGCGCAUGCGCACGGGGCGGCGGGACAGCCUGGAGAGCCACUACGCCGAGGUGGAGCGCGACAUCCCCAACCACAACGACAGCGUGUCGGCGGUGCUGGCCCGGUUCGCGGCCGUAGGCGUGGACGCCGAGGGCGCCGUGGCGCUGCUGGGCGCGCACUCCGUCGGCCGCGUGCACUGCUCCAACCUGGUGGCGCGGCUGUACCCGACGGUGGACGCCGGCGUCGACCCGGGAUACGGGGAAUACCUCCGGGGGCGGUGCCCGACGGCGGACGCCGGCGAGGAGGAGGACACGCGCGACGUGGCGUACGCGCGCAACGACCGCGCCACGCCCAUGGUGCUGGACAACAUGUACUACAAGAACCUGCUGGCGCGGCGGGGGCUCCUCCUGGUGGACCAGCGGCUCGCCGACGACCCCCGCACGGCGCCCUUCGUCGCAAGGAUGGCCGCCGACAACGCCUACUUCCACGACCGCUUCGCCGCCGCGCUGCUCACCAUGUCGGAGUACAACCCGCUGGGCGACGGAGAGGGGGAGAUCAGGCGCCACUGCAGGUUCGUCAAUUCAGCAGCAGCAUGACGAGGUUCACGUUCAUCAUGAUCGACUUGCCGCGUGCACGCCGCGCACCUGUAGUCGACUCGACUCGGUCCUGUAUAAAUCAGUAAGAAAUCCUAGGCAAUGCAAGAAAGGCAUCUAGUAUAUACUUAUCUGCGCAAUAAAAAAAAAUGCAUGAACUGAUCCUCAGUAUUAUAUGUUGCGUCCUGCUUCAAUUCCCGUGCAAACGCGACCUCGUUUGUGGAGGGAAUUGAGGCUUUGUUUAGCUCUAAAAAAUUUUCCAAGAUUCUCCGUCUCAUCCAAUCUUUGGACAUAUAUGUAAAACAUUAAAUAUAAAUAAAUAAAUAAAUAACUAAUUACAUGAUAUUUUUAGUUUAGAUAGUUUAUGGUUAAAUAAUAAUUAUUAAAUACAAACAAAAAUACUACGGUAGCCAAAUUUAAAAAAAAAAUACGAACUGAACAAGACCUGAAAGGGAGCACACAGGAUAUGCAUGCAGCGAAUAACUAAUAAAUUAUUUACCACCACAGGAGGAACACAAUCAGUUGCAUCCUCAGAGUUGCAGGGAAUAACUAAGAAAUUAUUAUGGACGUACGUCUCUUGUGUGCAUAAUCGGAAGAUGGCAGGAACUGAUUGGGAUAACACCAAGUCGUUUCCAGCUAAGAACCGGCAGUGUAAUUUCUAUCGCGGUUCUCAUCUCAACCAUUCCCUUUUUUGGUAGCUGCGAUUCUACUUCUGCCCGACUUGUCACCGUUCAGAUCGAUAAGUUCAAGACUGGAUGGAGGACGGAUGUUUACUUUUUUACAAAGACUAGCGCCGUACAUUGCAACACAACCCAGUAAAAAACGGAACUGAAAAAACACUCUACUGCUCAGAUUAUGGGAAAGAUGGACAAAAAAAUAGAUGGAGAUAAAUUUUACAUUUUUAAUAUUACAUAUAAUAAGGAUAUAGUUAUAUCAACAUGUUGUCGAGAAUGGUGGUAGCUUUCAAUAUAUUUAUUUAUUAGAUCUAGGUUGUCGCUUAAAAUCAUGACGAUUGUGUAUUGCGAAUGAGCAAUCAAUAUUUUUUAAAAAAAUCUAGAUAUUAACGUCGCGCAUGAAUUUUGGGCUAUUUUUUUAAAAGGUUACACAAUGCUCACCCUUAUAAAUGUAUGCACGCAAACCCUAUUCUAUGAGGGCAUUGUUGCCAAUGGGAACGUCGACUACCACAGAAAGCAUAAUAUCGUUAAAUUCUAUAAUAUUAGCUCCCAUAGAGAGUUGAACUUAGAAUUUAAGGUGCUAAGAGCAACUCUAAGAGAAGAGCUAUCCAUAAUAUGUAUUCUAUAUUUAGCUAUUUUGUUAGAGAAAAGAGAGUCCAACUAUUGUAUUUGGUUUGCUAAAAUAGCAAGUCAUCUAUCUCGGAGUUCUCGCAUGGUAAAUAUAGUUUGCAUGUCCCGCUAGCCAUAUGAUUUGUCAUAUAGAAAGACUGUUGGAGAUUUUUGUUUUUUACAUGAUUUUCUAUUUUAGAGGCUGGCUAAAUCUUGAAUUUAGCCAUCUAUUUUUAUCAACUCUUUUGGAGUUGCUCUAAUAAGACUCUUGUAACUACUAGACUAUAGGCCACCCCUUUUGCCUAGGUGCAGAAACUAUCUAUGACUACUCGUGUGAUUUUGGAACAAACUCUAUUCGUUGUUUAAAGGAGCACUACGGAGGGUUGAAAGCUCCAUGUGAAUCAUCUACCAUUGAUGUUCGAGCAAACCGGUGAUUGAGGAUGUUAGAACAUAGUUACAAAAUUUAUUGGGCAUGCCCGAGGACAAGAAUAACAAUUCACCACAACAGAAAAAUCACAUCAGUGAUGGUUCAAGAUGUAUAUUAGUGAUGGAAAAACAAGCAUAUCUAAAAUUAUAUCUCUGAAGUGGGCAAUACCAGUGAGAUGUUAUUCACUGUCUAUGAUAUGCAAAUAUCAUUGAUGAUUACUAAACAAGAAAUCAUCUACAUCAGAGACAGGGUCGUUAUAACAAACCAUUUUUUAUUAGACUAAUAUGUCAUGCUUACUUUUAUAUGCAUCUCAAAUAAUAAUAUUGUAGAUGGAUUUGUGUCUAUUGGAGACACAUUGUUUAAAGCACGAGUCUCAGAUUACAGAUAGCCCAAACAAUUUACCUUUCUGUGUGUCUCUAAUAUCCUUCCAUUAGAGACGAGAUUCUUUUAGAACAUGUCUCUUAAGGAAAAUAGGCCCCAUGACUCAUUUAGUUUGAAUCUUUAUGUUUGAUGAUCAAUAUGACCAUUUGGACUAACGUUGUUUGCUAGUAAAUACAGUUCGUCAGGAUGCAAAGUGGACUUGGACCAAAGCAAAGUGAUGAUAUGGAUGAUCAAAACCUCAAGCAAGACUUUAGAAGCUAAAUUGAAAACCUACAAAGGAAGCUAGAAUUCCAAGACCCUGGAGCAAUCAACAAAGAAGACGACAUGAGCAAGGAGCUAGGGCAACAACUACCCUACCUCACGGUUGGAUCGCCCCUACGGCCAGUGGGACCGCCAUGAGGAUUGGAUUGGUCCGAGGCUAGGGGCUUGAAGACCAUUAGAUCAUACGAGCAGGACUGUUCACGACGCCUCACGGUUCGACCAUGAGUCCCACUUGUUGGACCGCCAGGUAGACUCGGUGACAGGUGGGACCACGCGUGUAGGCAACCACUACUAGCUUGGUGGUAGCCGUUGGAGCACCCACGGUCGGACCGCCAGGAGCAACCAUUGAUGUGUGGGGUCAGCAAAAAGUUGGUGACCGUUGGCGAGACAAGUGACUGUUGCUGACCUUACGGUUC
rnacentral:lncRNA from 1 species